GUCAAAGUGGCCGCGCUGAAAUCUAAUCGCUCACGGACGCUGCGCUCCACUGAUCAAGCCAGGUUUUGCCUCUGCUGAGUGGGUGGCUGUGUGGCACCUCUGCUGACGUCACAGCUGGGAUGAGGUGAUGAGUACCUGGAUGACCGAUGAAGAAAGAUCAGCACAUUAAGGGCUCACCCAUCUAGUCAGAUUGACUGUGACCUUCAUCCGGUUUCAGGAAGAGCCCUCAGUGAGGUCAAGUAUGAUACGUUUCACUCAUGCAUGAUGUCUAUGGCUGAACCAUAAAUGUAACCCUUCCAGCCAGAGAGGAGCUAGGCUUCGUGCAGAACCACACGUAUGGAGGCCGUGUCCGCUACUCUCCCUCGACCAGCUGCCUGCUGCCUUUCCUUUGGGUGGAACCAAAUCAUACUGUACCACUCUUAGCCUGCCAACAUUACAGUCGCCAUGGUGAUGAGACUGAUUAAUGAUACGCCGAAGUAUAACCAGUGUGUUUGCUUGGCUCCCCUGUUCCUACAAUUGACUUCUGGCCCGUGCAAAGAUGUUGCGAUAUAAGAUGGAAUGCAUCUAUUGUGUCGAUCAGCUCUGGAGAGUCCAUGAAUGUGGAGAAAGAACGCUGUGCUUGGUGACUGUUUAAACAAGAUAUUAUAAAUAAGCAGUGAAAAAGAACAACAUGCCGAAUGGAAGAAGAUAUGAGCUAUUAACUUCCAAAGGUGGUCCAUCUGCUCCGAGAAAUGGACAGCUAACAGAAACCAGAAAAGUCAUAAAAAAUUAUCAAAACCGCAGUGCAGGAUCAGAGAGCGCAACAAUUAUCUCAUUCAAACAUUUUCUAAUAUUAUGAAAUUAAAUUGAACUUUUUAAAUAACAAUAAAAAAAUACAUGACAACAGUUAAUUUACUAUAAUAAUAAGUAAUAGUACUUCUAGUAGUUUACAUUAAAAUUAGUAAAUAGUUAUUGCUGGUAAUAUAAAUACUAGUUAAAGGAUUGUAAAAUGCAGCCCUCAUGGAUUUAAUUAUGA